rnacentral:tRNA from 1 species
GGCCGAGUUCGGUUUAAGGCGCUUGGCUCGGAAUCAGGUGUGCCCGGAAGGGCACCGGGGGUUCAAAUCCCUC